UGUAGCCAGAUGGGAUACUCGCCUUUCUUUUCUCUCUCGCUCUCGCUCACUCUACUGCUCUCGCUCUUGCUGCGCAACUACGUUAAUUAGGAACCCACCUGUAUAUUGAUUACAGGGUGGUAUUUACCUGUAUAAAGGGAAGCCGGUUUUUCUUGUUGGAUCAUUCCUCCCGAGCUUCUGGUGCGACACAGCAGUAAAUGCUGGCCUAUCGGUUAAUUUACCGAUACGAUCGGCUCGUGUGACUGCUACAGCGCGGCUGUUUCUCUUUUUUUUACUCCAGCCGUGGUGGAGAGACGUGUGAGUUGCGUCCACCAUGCAGUACAGUGCCUCCAGUCUUGGGGGUUUGAUUGCUGCCGCACCCUCUCAGGGAUCAACUGCCUGAUUUUAAGCGAAGAGUCGAGAUGCCUGCCUAGCUGCUGUCUUGUCUUGCCUUGUUUUAUCUUGUGUUCCGAUCUGUUGGCUGUCCAGUUUUGUUCCUGCUGUUUGCCCCGCCUCGCCCCUGGGGGCUUUGGGUCUCACGCUAAGCCCCUUUUGGACUAUCAUUUCACUCCAGCUUUCGCGACUGGUCGGGGCGAUCCUCAGCUGCAUAUUGGGCUGGUGUUACAAAACUGGUACUGCCUCUCCCUUUUCUCCCAGUUGUGGAGAGCUGCGCGGGACUGAGUGGGGCUACGGACAAUCGGAACCAGCACCAGCUGUGGGCUGGCUCGCAGAGUACAAGUACUUCCAAUCUGUGCUCUGUGGUGUGUAUGUGGGUGUGUUUUAUUGCAGAUCUCCGUUUUUCUUUUAAUUUCUUUUUUUAGUAUAUAGAGAGCCUGUUUAUGUCCCAU